GCCUGGUUGCGGUGGCACUUCCUCCUUCGCAUCACCUAGCGCGGUGGUUUUCAAUCUAGGCUGCAGAUACAUUUAAAAGAGAUUUCCCGCCCUUAAACAGAGUCCUGGGUUAAUUUAGCCGAGAAGCGCAUUCGUUUUCCCUCCGGGCGGGUUUGUGCAGUGCGUCAUUCCGGCCAGCAGGAGGCAGCAGCACCCAAGGAGCUGCGUGAGGGCUCGCGCGGGGCUGCUCGAAACCUGGGGCCGCGCACCGCGCCCGAGCCGCCUCUGGGCUUCGAAAGCGCGGUGUUUUGUGGGUCUCGUGCCCGGCUGCGGCCGCAAAGCCUGGCCCGUGAGUCCCAGGAGAGCAUGCGGGGUGCAGGCGACGUCGGGCCGACACAGCUGCACCUACCCGAGUGCGGCGGCGGCGGCUCGCUCGUCCGAAAGCGCGGCCCUUCCGGCCGAGUCUUCCUAGCUCAGGACCCGGCACACUGACGCGGCGAGGGGGCUGCAUCCCGCUGCUGACUGGGUCCCGGCCGGCGGUUGUCCGGUGCACGCCGCGGUGAGUUGCUGACCCGAAGUCGCUGCAAUGGGCUGUUGGCCGGCAGUGCUGCUCUUCCCAGGGCCAGCGAGACCCGGGAGGUGACCCAGCUCGGCUGCCUUCCGGGCCGCGGGCACGGCCUGCUAAGCUGGUGGAUGAGCCCACACCGGGAAAGGCUGGCGUACCGCCACGACGGCGACUUGGAUCUUGGCUCGACUCCUUCCAGGCUCACUGGAUGACCCGUGCGGACAGUGAAGUGACAAGAGCAGGCCACCUUGCUAACUAAGGCCACGGGCAUGUGCUGCAUCCACACUGAAGGAUGCUCCCGCUGGCCUCAGCCACAUUACAACCUGAGGGGUGGCGAGCCUUGCAGGCCCGGGGCUCCUCCCUAUGUGUGCAGUAAGCUGGUUUCUCGAGAAGCACACCUCCGAGCAGCGCCGUGCAACAGAAACGGCAUGCAAGCCAGUGUGCAUCUGAAAUCCUCUACUGGCCAUGUUGAAAAAGCAGUAGGUGCAGGCGAAAUGAGUUUUAAUAAGUUUUAUUGAACCCACAUACCCUCAGUAGUAUCAUUUAACAUGAAACCAAACUUUAAAACAUGACUGGAAGGGUCUGAAAUGUGGCACGCACGUCACACUCAGGGGUCUUCCAAUCCGGAGUGUGACACCGAAGUUAAGUGUCUGGAGGUCACACCUGGCUGGUGGCCAUGGUACUGGGCAGUGUUGGUGCAGGGAACUCAAAACAGAGAACCCCAAGUAGACCUGGGCAUUCACCAGAAAGUAACAGGGAGAAUCACGGAAAUGACUACAAGAUGCCACGGCGUUAACCUAAAGACCAAAAUAUCUGCAGAGAGCUGGUCUGGGAAAAGGCUUAAAUGAAAACAAGGUUAAAUUUCGAUUCAAAUAGGCUCUGUUACACAAGAGUAAAACUCACUUAAGGUGGCCCAGGACGUCCUGUGGAGCCAAGAGGUGGCAAGUUCUGGCUCACAUGUUGCUUCUGCAGGUCUAUAGGAUGGGGCUCUGGAGUGAUGAGCCAGGUCUUCCAAAAUCCAUGAAUGACGCAUCUUACCAGCGAUUGCAGACAGCUUUCUGGCAUCCAGACUUUGCACUGUGCUCACCUCUGACGUCCUGUGCACCCCUCGUCCUUGGCCAGUCUGUCCCCCCAGGCAGACACAGAGUGCUCUGCUUGGGACUCACUAAACAGACUCCGUGCACGCCUCUGAGGAGCGGACAGCCCUGCACAGCGAUGGUGGAGCUCUUGCUCAGUGCUGCAUGCCUGGACCUCGAGCCGUGAUCAGCAGUCAGAAGAGCAGCCAUGCUGUGCUGGGUGCUGCCCUGAAGGGCUGUGAAGGGAGGACCUCAGGAGGCUCAGAUUCCUCGCUCUCAAGUCUACUCCGCCCCAUCUGAGCUGAGCCACCCUGUAUGCGAGAGAGUGAUGGACAGCCACACCCAGAGAAGCAAGGGAGAUGGAGCCUGCAGUGAGGGACUAAGAAGAGAAGCAGGAGGCAGUGUGCAGUGACACCUCGCUUCGUGGAUGCUUCCGUCUGUAAACACUUUGCUUUGCAAACAGAACUGACUGGCAAAAUUUUGCUUAUGUUCUCGAACUCCUCAUAGGUGCCAAACAUGACCAUGGCCAUUUUCUGCUCUGACACAUGGUCGUGGCUUCCUCUAGUCGAGAUCGCAGUCACAGAUAGACCUGUGCACACUUGCUGUGAGGCUUUUGUGUGUUUUAGCACAUACAGUACUCUACAGUGUUAUUCAGUCCAGCAUGGCUCCAAAGAAACUGCAGAGGUAAAAAGAGAGUGCAGAGCAAUAAUGAAGGUAACAAGAAAGUGCAGAGCAAGAAUGGCAAGAAGGUUUUGAAGAAAUAACCAUUGAGUUGAAGGACGCUGUGGACAAGCAUGAGCAUGGUAUCCUUAUGACUGAUCUGGCCUCAGAGCACACGAUGGCGAAGUCCACAGCCUCGACUGUCUUGAAGAAUAAAAACACCAUCAAAGGAGCUGACGUGGCCAAAGGAGUAAUGAUGUUAACCAAGUAGAGGACACAAGUGCUGGAAGAGGUGGAAAAGCUUUUGUCAGUGUGGCUGAGUGAGAAUCAGCUGGCAGGUGAUAGUGUUAGGAAGCUAUGGUCUGUGAAAAGCCAGGAAAUUGCACAGCGGUCUACUGUAAGAAAUCCCUCUACACCUCUACAAGUGCAACAGGUGAGGGAUCUAGAGCCUGUAGAGGGUGGUUUGAUAAAUUCUGCAAGGGAAGUGUCUGUGAUAAGACAUGGUGAGGCUUCUGGUUCUGACAAGGCCUCCACAGAAGCCUACAGGAAAGAAUUCGCAGAACUCAUGAAGACAGAAGGAUAUGUCAAGCAACAAGUGUUUAACUCUGAUGAAACAGGGCUUUUGUGGAAGAAGAUGCUGAGCAGAACCUAUGACAUACAGGAGGAAAAGGCACCGCUGGGGCACAAGCCCAUGAAGGACAGACUGACCCUUGUGCCUGUGCGAAUGCAAGCCCCAAUCUGAAGAUUAGGCCACUACUGGUGCACCAUCCCCAGACCCCUCGGCAUUCAAGGGACAGUGUGGACAAGGCCAGGCUGCCUGUCGUGUGGAGGCUAGUGGCGAAGCCUGGGCCACAGGGCAACUGUUUAUGGAAGGGCUGCACAAGGUGUUCUCACCCACCAUUAAGCAAUAUCUUUCUGGCAACCAGCUGCCUGAAGGUGCCUCCUUCAGAUGGACAGAGCCCGGCAACCUCCAGCCUUGGCAGAUGACAUGGACGCUGAGUAUGACUUUAUGACGGUCAAGUUCCUCCCCUACACGACACCUCUUCUGCAGCCUUAGGCCAGCAAAUGACCCAUAACUUCAAGAAGCUGUGCACAGGGUGCUCUUCACCAGGUGUUUUAAUGUCACUGAAGAGACAUCCCUGACUGGAAGAAUUCCAGAAGAAACAUUUCUCCCCACCGCAUCAGGCUCCCUGACACAGCCUGAGAAGAUGUCACGUACCGGACCUUCAACUCAGCCUGGAGGACACCGGCCAGAACGCGUCACUGGGUGUGACUGUGAAGGGUCUGAGGCACAGGUGUGGAGGGAUUGUGCCCACGGGCAAGAGUGUGGGUCUGGACGCCGAUGGUGCAGACGUGGAGGGGACCAAAGGAGGAGCUGACGCGGGAAGCACUUGCUGAACCGCUGAGUGAGCAGCAGAAGGCGCCUGCCGAGGAGCCCUGCGCCGAGAGGGGGCUGGGAGGAGGCCGGCAGUGACGUGACAAACUUCACCCUGGAAAAUGGAACGAGGGCUGGUUCUUGAGAAGCCCCGCCCCGACAUGGCCUCUCAACACAGGCCCUCUCGUUCCCGGGGGUUGCGCAGCACAGGAAAAACACUGACAUUAGAGAGAUUUCUCCCGUCAACACCGACCCUGCAGCUAAGAGAGAAAGAAGAGGACUCCCCCGACGGAGGUCUCCCCAGUGCCUCAUGGAGGGGCCCACCCUCCAAAUAAUACCCUCCUUCCUGUCCUGCGCGCCAGGAGUCUCCAAGCAAGUGCCUUCAGGGCCCCAGUGACGCCGUGGUGACCACGUGCCUGUAACAGGUAACCCCUGGCUCCACGUCACCCACGCCCACUUGCACAGCUGCUCAGCGCCCUCCUGUGCCCGCGUGCCUCCACACUCCCCCGUGUCCCCAUGGCCUCUUAUGCCUCCGUGUCACCCGUCAGCUGCCUGCACAGUCCUUGCACGCCUCUGACUCCCUCCGGUGCUUUUAUUUACCUCCAGAGCCUUGCUACACCCCUCGGUGCCUCACCACCCACUCCUUCACUUUCCUUCUCCCCAUUUCCAUUCCCAUCACCCUUGGGCUCUUAGAAGUCAGCCCUAGAAGGAAAAUCAGUAGGUCCCACACUUGGGCUCACCGGCUCGGUGGUGAAACCUCACGGCGUAUUCAUAACACCACCUGGAGCACAAGUCCUGGAGAAAGCACAAGUUCUGUAGCCAGGUAAGCCGGAGAACCCUGCCUCCAAUCCCUCUAGAUGGGGAGUCCUGCCGGUGAAUAGCUGUGACACUGUCCACCUCGGGAUUCCGAAGAACUAAGAGACUGCAGGUGUCUUUUCUUUCUCACCAACAGCUAUGAAAACCCUACAGGACUCUUCUGAGAAGCAGACACCGGGAGAGUUAGCAUUUCAGAUUUCUUUAUGUCAGUUGCCAUGGUCUUCUACCACACGGCUCCAAGCUUCGUUCCCUACUAUGCCUCCAUGUGUCCUCCAGCUUUCCAAAAGCCUCCCGCCCUUCACGACUGCAGACCUCAGAGGUGCUGCCCCUUCUCACUGGCCACUUGGCUGGGCCGACCGCCAUCCUUGCCCCUGCCUGUGCACGCUCUCUUCAGUCACCAAGACUCAGCUCAGCUCCUCCCUCCUGCACAGGGCCUCCUGGUGAAUCUCCAUCCUGGGAACUACCAAUUUUGUUGGCUGUCUGGUACUCCCCUUUGGAAAACACCACAUCAUUCCUUGCGGUCUUGUUCCACAGAGUUCCUGAAGCUUCUGUGUCCUCAAUAAUUCUCGAGGGCUUAUGUUGUGACUCCUCAUUUAGCCCUAGGACACAGGGAGCAUAUCCCAGGUUCCCUCAGUCCCCUGUCCUGGUGCAGGGCCCUGUACACGGUAGGCGCACAAUAGGUAACUGUCAGUUUGAAUAAUGUUUUUUGUGUUUUAAUCUUUCUCCAGCUGGUGUUACCUGGCUGGGCUGGUGGCCAUGGGACUCAGUCAUCUGGAGGGCAGAGUGGUGCUCAAGGCCGCGGAGUGGUUAGAGCCCUCCAGAGUGAGCUCCAAGGGGAGGGAAGCGAGGGCUCCAGAGGGAACUGGAGCUGAGAAUGGGAACUGAGAGUCCCAGCUUGUGGCCUGAAGGACGAGGCCCUGGCUCUAACUCCCCCGUCCCUGUGGGCCUCAAUCCCUGACAGAGAGUUGAGGGGCUGAGUGUCAGACUCUCCACAGCAACUGCUGACUGACCGUGUUCCCAUCGAGUGACCUGAGUCUACAGGUUGCCUGGGUCCAGAGGCUUCUACAGUGUCACUCAGACCUCGACAAGCAAGUGGAAGGGAGUGAAGCCAUCACAGGAACAACUGCAAAUCUGCUCCCGUUCAUCAAGGGGGGAAUUCCUCCCUCGUUAUUCGUAGUCACAAAGCACGCAUGAUCCGUUCAUGGCUCCACAGCUAUGCCUUCACCAUGUCUGCCAGCUCUUCCAGGGUGCUGGCAUCACCAGGAUCGUCCGGAGGGCCCAGCCACAGAGCGUGGUCAGUAGGACUGGCACAGGGAUCGAGACCCUGCUUCUCUGACGAGUUUCCAAGUGAUGCUGAUUUUGCUGGCCUGGCGGCCACCCUUGAAGAACACUGUUCAGGGUCUCCCUUACUCCAGCCCCCAGCCCUGGUUCCUGAAUCAAAUCUGUCCCUCCCGAGGUGGGCCUGCUUGGGGACUCCAGUGGCUUCACCAGUGGGGUUGCUUGAUGUCCAUCUCAGUCUCCCCCAUUCUUUCAUUGGAAAAAUGGACAACGGAGACUGAGGAAAUGCAGGAAAAAGGUACCAGAGCCACGGGCGAUCGAUGUGGUCGUUGUGACCCCUCACUCCCUCCUGCAGUGAUUCUGCUACAUUCUCUCUGCGGCAUCUGAUGAAGAAUCUGCUGUCGGUUUGAGGACACUACCUGCUACUUCCCAGCCUCUUUUUGGGAUCAACUGGGGAUACUUCAGAUAAGACGCUUCAACUAACAUCGUUACAACAAGGCCUGGCACGUAACAAAUACCCAACACAUUUACUGAGAUGCCGCCCUGGGCUUAGAGAUUGGAAGCCGAGUGCUUACCCCAAAUGUUUGGGCUCGGAUCCUGGCCGUGUUCACUGUCAGCUGCGUGACUUGGGCAAGUUAUCCGAGUUCUCGGUAACUCGGUCUCCUUGCCUGUACACUGGGGUUGAUAAUAACAGUGUGUCCAGGAAAACAGAGAUGAACUGAAUUCCUGUCUGCAAAAUCCUUAUGUCCAUGUCUGCCUCCUAAGAAGCACUGGGUAAAUAUGACUCAGUGACUGUGCAAACAGGAGCAGAGGGUGCUGAGAAGGCUGACCACACAGGCCGGGCCCUCUCCGGGGUUCUGGGCGCUUCUCUCCACCACCGAGGCUGCACUGAGAGGCAGAACACUCGGUGUGGGUGUGCAUGUGCGUGUGGGAGCUGGGUGAAGCCCAUCGUGUCCACCUCCCUAGCUCUGGCCAGAAGAAGCCCUCUUAGCUUUGCCCCCGUGAAGUGGGCCUGCUGAUAGCAGCUGCUCCCGCAGGGUGGGUCCCGGGACGGCCUGUGUGAACCGCAGGAGGAGACCACAGGGCGGGGGCGGGUGGCCACUGUGUGUCCCACGCAGGUAGCCAUGAAGCAUGGAGCUGGCGCCUGGAUCAGGCUGGGCUCGUAAACUUGUUUUUCCAAAGCACCACACCUGUCAGGCCCAGGCCGAACGGCGCAGGUGGACAGAAAGCCUCUGAGAGUGGUCAGUGCCUGGACUCGGGGUCCAACACCCUCAUGUGCCAGUUUUCUUGCAUUUUUCUCUAAAUCCCAAAGGCCCUGAUGGCACUGGUUUUUGAACCAGUGUGUCAAAUGCACUUACACCGCCAAUGGGUUUCUUCUUGUUUAGCGACUCAUGCAUUUUGUAUGAAGCACCAUCUCCAGUUUCCUUUCGGGCUCUGGAGAGGAUGUCCUGCUCCUGUUAGGAUGCAGGAUGAUUCCUUUUUGUUUUUUUGGUACCAGGAUCGAACUCAGGUCCUUGCACUUGCGAGGCAGGCAGCGGAACCACUGAGCUAAAUCCCAGGCCCUGGAUGAUUGUUUUUUAAAGCAGGAACCUCCAGAGUCCGGCAGAUGGGUUCACUGUGCAUAUUAUGGACAUAGCAAGGGCCUGGAGCUGACGUUUUCACUGGGGCUCAUCUGAUACUUGAGAAACCUGCCUUGCAAGAAUUUCAAGAUAUUUCAGGGUUUCAUAGCAGCACCCAAAUCAUACACAUUACAUAUAUAUGCAUAUAUACACCACUGAGCCUGUUCUUUUACAAUUAUUUUUCUUUUUAAAAAUGACACUGGGCCGGGGAUUUAGCUCAGUGGUUUCGCCACCUGCUGCACAAGCACAAGGACCCGAGUUCGAUCCCCAGUGCCAAAAAAAAAAAAAAAAA